GACAUGUACCAAAAAAAAUUAAUAAAUGACAUGGAAUUUUAAAAAUAAAUAUAAAAUGAAUUUUUUCCAUAUGUACAAGCUAUGUCAGCAAAUUUGCACAGUCAGAUGUCCUGCUGUACACUUACGGGGGUAAAUGACAGAAUCUAUUUUUUGCAAGGGGGUAAACAGAAAAAAAAUCUGAAUAGGGGGGAAAACGAAAAUUCCCUUAUUUUGCAGGGGGGU
rnacentral:lncRNA from 1 species